GACGAACGCUGGCGGCGUGCUUAACACAUGCAAGUCGAACGGAAAGGCCCUGCUUUUGUGGGGUGCUCGAGUGGCGAACGGGUGAGUAACACGUGAGUAACCUGCCCUUGACUUUGGGAUAACUUCAGGAAACUGGGGCUAAUACCGGAUAGGAGCUCCUGCUGCAUGGUGGGGGUUGGAAAGUUUCGGCGGUUGGGGAUGGACUCGCGGCUUAUCAGCUUGUUGGUGGGGUAGUGGCUUACCAAGGCUUUGACGGGUAGCCGGCCUGAGAGGGUGACCGGCCACAUUGGGACUGAGAUACGGCCCAGACUCCUACGGGAGGCAGCAGUGGGGAAUAUUGCACAAUGGGCGGAAGCCUGAUGCAGCAACGCCGCGUGCGGGAUGACGGCCUUCGGGUUGUAAACCGCUUUCGCCUGUGACGAAGCGUGAGUGACGGUAAUGGGUAAAGAAGCACCGGCUAACUACGUGCCAGCAGCCGCGGUGAUACGUAGGGUGCGAGCGUUGUCCGGAUUUAUUGGGCGUAAAGGGCUCGUAGGUGGUUGAUCGCGUCGGAAGUGUAAUCUUGGGGCUUAACCCUGAGCGUGCUUUCGAUACGGGUUGACUUGAGGAAGGUAGGGGAGAAUGGAAUUCCAGGUGGAGCGGUGGAAUGCGCAGAUAUCAGGAGGAACACCAGUGGCGAAGGCGGUUCUCUGGGCCUUUCCUGACGCUGAGGAGCGAAAGCGUGGGGAGCGAACAGGCUUAGAUACCCUGGUAGUCCACGCUGUAAACGGUGGGUACUAGGUGUGGGGUCCAUUCCACGGGUUCCGUGCCGUAGCUAACGCUUUAAGUACCCCGCCUGGGGAGUACGGCCGCAAGGCUAAAACUCAAAGGAAUUGACGGGGCCCCGCACAAGCGGCGGAGCAUGCGGAUUAAUUCGAUGCAACGCGUAGAACCUUACCUGGGUUUGACAUGGAUCGGGAGUGCUCAGAGAUGGGUGUGCCUCCUUUGGGGUCGGUUCACAGGUGGUGCAUGGCUGUCGUCAGCUCGUGUCGUGAGAUGUUGGGUUAAGUCCCGCAACGAGCGCAACCCUUGUUCACUGUUGCCAGCACGUUAUGGUGGGGACUCAGUGGAGACCGCCGGGGUCAACUCGGAGGAAGGUGGGGAUGACGUCAAGUCAUCAUGCCCCUUAUGUCCAGGGCUUCACGCAUGCUACAAUGGCUGGUACAGAGAGUGGCGAGCCUGUGAGGGUGAGCGAAUCUCGGAAAGCCGGUCUCAGUUCGGAUUGGGGUCUGCAACUCGACCUCAUGAAGUCGGAGUCGCUAGUAAUCGCAGAUCAGCAACGCUGCGGUGAAUACGUUCCCGGGGCU
rnacentral:rRNA from 1 species